UACGGAGGGUGCAAGCGUUGCUCGGAAUUAUUGGGCGUAAAGCGCACGCAGGCGGCAAGGUAAGUCAGUUGUGAAACUCCCGGGCUUAACUCGGGAACUGCAUCUGAUACUGCUUUGCUUGAGUACGGAAGAGGGGAGUGGAAUUCCCAGUGUAGAGGUGAAAUUCGUAGAUAUUGGGAGGAACACCGGUGGCGAAGGCGGCUCCCUGGUCCGAUACUGACGCUCAUGUGCGAAAGCGUGGGGAGCAAACAGG
rnacentral:misc_RNA from 1 species